AAAAAGGACCACAACCCAUAUAUCGGAUUUGGAAGCAGGCCUCUUGAUGAUUCCAAGAAAACAACAGAUGUUAUUUUAGAGGCAUUAAAUGACACAGGACAAAGAGGAAUAAUUGACCAGGGUUGGGGAGAUCUAGGGCACUUUGCAGAAGUUACUGAGAAUUUUCCUCCUGGAAGACUGCCCUCAUGAUUGGUUGUUUCCCCAAUGUUCAGCUGUGUGUCCAAUGACCAUAGUGCCGUUCUUGGAGAUCAAUUCUUUUGGGGUGAUAGAAUACAUCAGAGAGGGCUUGGACGUGCACCAAUACCAAUAUCAGAGCUCAGUGUUGAGAAGUUUUCAAAUGCUAUCAGAUUCAUGCUCCAGCCAGAGGUACUCUUUUGGCAAGCAUCUAAUUCUACAUUGUUACUCGUGUACUGCUUUUGAAAUUUGACCACCUAUUUAAUGUCAAGAUGUUAUAGCCGUUGCUUAAAUACUACUCAUUAGAACAUUUGUGAAAUCCCAUGCGAUGGAGUUAGCAAAACUGAUAGAAAACGAAGAUGGCGUUGCUGCUGCGGUCGAUGCAUUUCACCGGCAUUUACCUCCGGAGCUACCAUUGCCUACUGCAGCGUUGGAGGGAAUGAUCAUCCAAACCCUUUACAGUGGUUCUUUCUACAAAUUGGAAAA